GUCAGACCUCCGAGGAGGGUGUACGUACAUUGUGUUCCUCCCCGUCUUCGUUCCGGAAGACUGAGGCAAAAGAGUGUUUUCGUUGGAAAGGGGAGAAUGGCAUAGAGUUCAACAACACACAGGACAAGGAAGAGUCUCGAGGUAUAAACCGUUGGUGGUGACACUUCAGGAUGCAGCCGGACGAGGAAGGCUUCCCGGCGUCUCCUAUGGGCUCCUCAUUCCCCUCACUCCCCUCGAGGGACGGCGAGAGCGGGGAGAUCCUCGGGGACAAAGUCGUGGCCCUGAGAAGGGCUCCCGAGGAAUCUCCCCGGCGCCUGCGCCUCCGGCCGGGCGUGCCCCGGGAGAGGAACCAGCCCGGCCACUAUUCUCUGCUGAAGCAGCACCAGCAGUUCAGCGGCUUCAGGAUUCGGGACGCCUUGGCUCAGCAGGGAGGACUCAGGCUGAGGAAGGGCAGCAUGACCUACAGCAGGAGGCCUGUGCCUAUGCUGCAGCCUGAGUACCAGAUGUGUGUUCAGAUGGAGGGCGGCGUGCCCGUCCGCCAAACGGCCUUUCCGAAGGUGCCUCGCCAGUGGCACGAAGAGUGGGACCAAGUGCGCUUUCGGCCGCCCUUCCGCGUCCCUCGGGAGAGCCUGCCGGAGUCUCGGCCACCGUCACCGUCAAAUAGACUACGAGUAAAUAUAUGGGAGGAGUUCAUAUAUGGAACAAGUGCUUUGAAAAGGAAGGGACAUUAUGUUAUAAACGAAGGAAAUUCUAUCAUGAACAAAGUCAGGACGUCAUUAGAGCAGUUUUUGCCCAAACAGUUCGCAAAUAUCGUUCUGUGUGUGUUAUAUUUCCUCUUCUACUUCUUAUCCUGUUUUGCAUAUAACAAUUACUUGGAGAUUGCCUUGUAUAUAUUAUUCCACGGCCACCUGAAACUACACGAGUGUGCUUAUGAAAACGACAUUGACUUGAAUUUUACUGGUAGUCUUUUCGAAGGACCCGCAUAUGCUUGGAUAAGGGGGUACUGCCAGCAUUGCAUACACAGGGGCAAUAUAAAAGUUUUUGAUUGCCAAAUGAAGAAAAUGAAAAUGGACAUUAUGGCAACGAAAAAAAUCUAGAAGAGAAUAUGUCUGCUUCGUCAAGUGAAAUUGGCAGCAGGGGAUAGAGUGUUCACUUGUGAUAUGCAACUUCUCUAUCUCACGCGCUCACACGCAAACUCACGCACACACGCAAACUCACGCACACACGCACACGCACACGCACACGCACACACUCACACUCACACUCACACUCACACACUCGCACACGCACGCAAGCACGCACACACACACGCACGCACACCCACACAAAGUGUAAUUACCUCAGGUGUAAAUAAAGUCACUCUCAGACAAAUAGUAAAACUUCCCAGCCAAGAAGUGGUUGCGUUCAUUAUCAAAAUGAAGUGCCACACUCUUGUAGUCUUCUGGUGUGGCAUCUGAGCCUAAGAUGUCUGCAUACAGCUCCAUCUUCCCAUGCGUGCGUGCCAGCUGGAAUGCCUCGUCCGUGCACUUGGAGAGUACCAGGAAUUGAAUGGCUGAACUGUAGUCAUUCAACUUUUGGAAGAAUCUGAGGAAACAAAAAGUCCAUUAAAGUAAAAAGCAUCCUGGAAUUCAUCUCAGCAGCAAUAUUGACACCACGCCUAAUGUCACCACAUCGAAGAGCUGUUCGUGCAAUGCCGGCUUUACACGCUGAAUUGUGUUCUUCUGAUCCACCUGUAUUUACAACUCCCCUUUCGUAGUGUGUCAAUGCUCCUGGGUAGUCACCUCUGCAGUAUGAGCAUGUUUUACAAUACAAUGCAGUCCUUAAAUAGAGAAACUUACGUAAACUCGAGCUGCUGUGCAUACUCCCUUGAGAUGUAAGGGAUCUGGUCUGGAGCCAAUUUCUUAGCCAGAUGAAGGGACUGGUCCCAGUGAAGCAAGUCUCUGCGCAUCUCCAAAGCUGCUACAGGAGUGCUGGAGCUCAGGUACAAUUCCUGCACAAUCAGGUGGU